GUCGGGAUGGCAGAGCGGAUAACGCGCAGGCCUUGAAAGCCUGUGACCCAACGGGUCGCGUGGGUUCGAAUCCCACUCCCGACGCCA
rnacentral:tRNA from 3 species